CAAAACACACUGACAACAUGAAGGCCCUCUUCCUCAUAGGACUGCUUGCUCUGGUAGCGAGCACCGCCUUUGCGCAAUAUAGCGAAGUUGUUGGCAGUUACGAUGUUGCUGGCGGGGGUGGUGCUCAACAAUGCCCUGUAGAGACAAAGCUAAAUUCAUGCAGGAAUUACCUGCUAGAUCGAUGCUCAACGAUGAAGGAUUUCCCGGUCACCUGGCGUUGGUGGAAAUGGUGGAAGGGAGGUUGUCAAGAGCUCCUUGGGGAGUGUUGCAGUCGGCUCGGCCAAAUGCCACCGCAAUGCCGCUGCAACAUCAUCCAGGGGUCAAUCCAAGGCGAUCUCGGUGGCAUCUUCGGAUUUCAGCGUGAUCGGGCAAGCAAAGUGAUACAAGAAGCCAAGAACCUGCCGCCCAGGUGCAACCAGGGCCCUCCCUGCAACAUCCCCGGCACUAUUGGCUAUUACUGGUGAUGUAGCUUCCAUUUAUGACUAGCUAAUAAACUGUCACAUACCACUGCGUGUGACAAAUAAAAGUGGUCAUGGAAUAAUUUAUGAAUAAAAUUUCAGCAUGUGCCUGCGCGAGGUGUCUAUAGCAAACAUUUCAGUAUGCCUAUAUAUGUUAAUCAAGAUAGCAAUGUUCACAUACACCCAGAAUAAUAGUUUGUGUAAUUAGUUGUGUAUGUUCUUGGUGGUGGUUUGUGUACAGAUUUGCCUUCCUUCUAACAAAAUAUGAAUACAUGGAGCUGUUCAAGCCUUAAACAUGGAAGAUAAGAGAAUGAAACGAGCCAUCCAAUUAAAUUACUAUGAGUUUGCCGUGAGGAUACCAUUGUUAGUUCAACAAAUGACUUAAAAUAAUUCCAUUUUAUUUCCUGACAUGUUAACAAGAAUGAUAUGCACCAACCACUUCAUGUAUCUUGUGCACAAGCAUCAUCAUAAUCAUCAAUCUAACAACUUGCACAAGAUGACAAAUCUAGUUUCACAGAAAAAUUAAAUCUAGAACAAACCACUAGGCCUGAACGACAUCUAAAUACAAGACAAAAAACAACACAGCUCAAACAGGGUGGCAUUUAAAAAAAAUGGUGUAUAUUAAUUAGAUAUGCUAGAGUUUAUUACUACCUCUGUACCGAAAUAUAAGACGUUUUUGUACGGAAAUUGCUUUUGGAGGCCGAGCUCCAUGCAGGCCUUCAAAUGCAAAAUUCAAAAUUCAUGAAAAUUCAUAUUUUUACAUUUAAAAAAUUCUAAAAAAUAGAGACAUACAUGAAGGCAUAAUGCACAAGUGUGUAAAUAUUCAGGACGAAAUACGUUGAAAUGAGGGCUGUGCAAAAAUAAAUCUGAGACUUGAUACUAUUCAUCCUCCCAGACCAUGAAUUUGUCUUUUUUGUAUAGGUGGCAUUUCAAUGUAUUUGAUCCUGAAAUUUUACACACAUACAACUCACACCCUUGUUUACUUGUGCAGAUUUUUUCAGAUUUUUUGAAAUCGAUAAUUUCAAAAUUCAAAAUUUUCAAAAUAUGGCCUCCAUGGAGGCCGAGAUCCAAAACGUCGUACUCAUUUUUGUAGGCUAAACUAGCCUACUAAAAUGUCUUAUAUUUUGAUAUGGAGGGGAUACAAUCUUGCAAAGUUAGUUCUAACACGGAGCUGGGCUAUCCCUUGCUUAGUACACCAUCACUCCAGACCUCACACAAGUAUUUAGUUAAACCAAGUAAUAUUUAGUUCAGACAUGGCUAUGUUAGUCGGGAGGGCAUUGGUACGCCCAGUCCACCAGAGUUCAAGCCCUAAAUUUAGCGCUUUGGUGUAUCAUAAAAGUGGAAAAUUCUUUAUAAAAGGAGUCAAGUAUUUACAAAAAGCAGGGAUGGAGAUACAGUAAACAAAUGGAACGGGCUGACAAAUUCAUCUUGUCGGGCCGUUGGACACCUUUGAUCUUUCAACGAGAUCCACCUGCGGAGCAGCAGCCUGGUCGUGGUGGGCCGAGCAGGGUGCGUGUGUGACUUGGCAAAAAAAAAAGGCGGAAGCCAGAAGUGAGACUAUCGGCAUUUCCUAUUUGGCGCGUUUAGCACUCGUUAUUUUGCAUUUUGCAAACGGGCACACACUCCCCCUCCGCAUUGGGCCGACCCAUUUGCUUUUUUCUGUUUAAACUAUAGAAAAGGUGUGCUCGCCCUGACUCGAACUCGUGAUCUCUUCAUUGAGUAUAAACCACAUUAACCACUAUGACAACUUAGCGCUUGUUCCUUCUUACUUUUUAAAAAUUUUAGUUCGCAGAAAGCCCCCGGUAGCUUCCCAACCUAGUUUUUUCCACUUUGCUGGACAGGUUUCAGACGGUUCUUAAUUGGCUUUUCUUCCUUUUUAUUUUUUCUUGUUUCUUUGUUUUUUAUUUUUUCUGGUUUUUUUCCUUUUCAUAUUUUAUUUUUUUGUUUUUCUUAAAUGCACGAUUUUGUUUCAAAAUUGAUGACAUUUUCAAUUCACGAACUUUUCUUCAAAAUUGAUGAACUUUUUAUCAAAAUCCUUGAACUUUUUUCAAAAUCAAUGAACAUUUUUCAAGAUUAUGAACUUUUUCAAUUUUGUACACUUUUUUCAAAAUUGAUGAACUUUCUUUCAAAAUAGAUCAACUUUUUAAAAAAAAUUGAUGAACUUUUUAUCAAAUCCAAUGAACUUCUUUCAAAAUCGUAGACUAUUUUAAAAUUCGUGAACUUUUUUUAGUUUGUUACCCUUUUUCAAAAUCCAUGAAAUGUUUUAAAUUCGUGAUGUUUUUCAAUUUUUGUGAUUUUUUAAAUAUUUUUUCAUUUUCUCGAAAAGACAACAGUUGACCGGUCAACCAUUUUAGCGAAAAACCAACUGCGUCUGGCGAGGGGACUACACUGUUAAUGGUUAAUGGGCCGGCCCAGUGCUGUAGCUUAGUGGGCACCAGUCUCCUAGCUGGUGCAUAAGGCGCCUGCCGAGACAGUCGGGAGGCUUGGACUGUUGACAAGUGUGAUCGGACUGCUAGAGAGCAUCCACCCGAAGAAAAGGCCGGUAGCAAGCUCAAGUUAUUCCGGGAGGCCGUGGGUGGCUUAGUUUUACUAUUUUUCAACUCAUAGUACUCUCUCCAUUUGGUAUUAAAGGGUCACCGAGUAGGAUUUGAAUUUGUGAGGCCGAUGUUAUUAUGGAGCAGUGAUUUCUCUACACCCCUUCCCCCUCCCAUAUGUGCCUUGAUUCAUUAUUUUUGAGGGUUCGAAUCAAAACCCGGAUGAACAAAGUGGUGCCAAGCUUCUUGAAUAAGAGAGUGCCCCAAAAGGUAAAAGUCGUGUUCUAUAGGAUGAAGAUUCGACCCUCAUUAUUGAAUGAUGGUUAACUAAAAGGCGACACAGGAUGAAGAUUCGACCCUCAUUAUUGAGUGAUGGUUAACUAAAAGACGACACAAGAUGAAGAUUCGACCCUCAUUAUUGAGUGAUGGUUAACUAAAAGACGACAUGUGUAGAGUUAGGUGUUGGACGUAAUAGAGUUAGUGUAGCCCUAAUUGAAGAGAAGUCUUAUCCGACAACAACGAUUAAAGCGGGUUGAUAAUGUCAAAAAAGGUCAAUAUAGACCAAACUUGAGAGGAGGCCAUAAAGGGGGGGUAAGAGUAUCACCAAAAGCCGACGAGUUGAUUUCAGGAUCACAUGGGUUUAAGCUCUUAAGCACCAGCUUGUUGGGAGGCUUUGUUGAUCUCUUUAUCCUUUGAAUCAAAAAGGACCUGACCAAAAUUUCUUAUUUCUGAAAAUGUUCAUCCCUUCCUCUAAAAACUAACUGCAGGUUUUAAAACGACCAUUACAAAUUCUAUAGGGAGGUUCCAGAAAUAUGCUACAGUGCGAUUUUGCUGUCUUUUAUAAGAGCAGUUUUUUCAUUGACCAAAGGGAUUUCCGUAAACGGAAAGAGCUGGGGAGCUAACCCCACCCAGCCGAGACGCCGAAACAGAUAUAAUACUGUCGCAUUGUACAGAAAACUAUUCCCUCCGUCCCAUAAUAUAAGAGCGUUUUUGACACUAGUGCAGUGUCAAAAACGCUCUUAUAUUAUGGGACGGAGGGAGUACAACCUAUAUAUGACAAGUAAAAUAGCCAAGCCGAUCCAAACCACUAGACUAGACAAGGAGCAACACAGUAAAAGCAUUUCUUGAAGUGAAGUAACGCGCGCGGGGUGGAUGCGGGUGACUCAAAGCAGACAUGUGUAACAGAUUAGCACACUUCUAAAUCACCUCCAUCGUCUACGUACGUCAUCUCAGUCUUUAGUCAUCUCCGUCCUCUUCGGCAUCGUCCUCACUGAUCUCGGAGUCAUCUUCAAGAUCCCCACUCGUCUCAGAGUCAUCUCCAUCCCCUUCAAGAUCCUCGCUCAUCUCGGAGGCAUCAUCAUCUCCAUCUUCAAGUUCCUCCAGACCUGCACAAAGAAACAAUGAUCCAUGAUUGGGAUAGCAAUCAUUUGUGUUAUGAAAUUCCUUUAGCCAGCAGACCCAAUAAAUGAAAAAAACAUUCCCCACUGAAAGCAUUGGAAUAAACCAGUUUAGUAGAUCUCCUACAUACCAAUCUCAUGCAAUUCAGGACACCACCUGAAUAAAUUGAAACAAGGUCGCAUUCAUUAGGUUUUGAAACAAAAAAAGACUUCUAUAAUGCAACAAGCGGAUGUUUCUAGAGUAAAGCAACAUAUACUGCAACAACAAAUCUAUACACAUGAGUGAAGAACAAGUUCACCUGUCUGUAGCAGCAAUCACUUCAUCAUGGAAAUCCUCCACCGAGUCAUAUUGAUUCAGGAAAUAAACCACCGUGGGAUCCGACACGUCAGUUCCUUGAGAUUAAUCAAAGAUAUAUUUAGUGCUGGUGAAAUUUAAAAUCCCGGCAAUAUAGUGAUCAAUUAACUAAUGAAAUGCAGUUGAAGCAUCAUAUUUUCAGCGUGCAAGUUGGGUACAAUCUUAGAAAUAAGAUGUCAACUUAAAAAGACAAAGAUCUAAUCAAGCUGGACAACGAUCUCAUAAAUAAGAUAUCAUAUGAAGCUGGACAACAAUCUUAGAAAUAAGAUGAUGUCUGUACAUGAAGUUCCAAACUGUGUUCCAGACUGAACAGACUUUUCCACAUUGUGCUGACCUUAUUGAUUCACUCUGCAUGUAUAGGUUGAAUAGACAGAGAGACGCUCCUUUUGGUUUCAUGAAUGAGGAUAAAUGUAAAGGAUUAAAAUAGCUUUGUGGUAGCAGGAUAUAUAUAGAAGAUUUAUUAAUAUAUUUUGAUGGCUGAAUGUAAAGUAAAUACAUGUGGGAUCUGGGGCAGCGCAUGCAUGUGUGGCUUAAAAAACAUUGUCGCCUGGCAAAAUGCUGGCACGAGAAGCUUGCUGGACAUGCUUGCAUGGAACUCUGACGAAUGAAGCUAUGCCUUUGGAUUGCGCUAUAAAAGUGCAAGUUUUGUUGUCUGAGUCUUCCUGUUUGGAGGAUUGAGGGAAGGGGAUCAGAGGGGCAAAAAAGAUGAGGGGUCGCAGCGGAAGGCCAGGAAUAGAGGUAACGGAGGAAAAAAAAGUUUUGACUCCAGCGGCUCGCCACAGCUGACAGGUCACCAAGAAUUUCAGUCCAAGCUUACAUGAAGAACAAUGACUGCUUCGGGUAAGAGAACAGAGGCGUGUGGAUGAGGGAUCGAUGUGAGAGAAAAGUGGUGGACGGUUACUUUAAAACGUGUCAUUAAGUAAGUAAAUUGGAUUGUUACACAAGCCAAGCUGUAGGAACAUAAUAGAGUGAAUUUCAAGCAUAAUGGACUGAUGUAAACAAGAAAUGUCUUCAAACUGUGUCAGAACAGCCUAAUAACAACAUAUACAAGACAGGCCACCACCAAGUAUAUAUGGUGCAUUCUCUGUUACAGAGCACCACAAGGCUGCCUUGGCUCACCUUCAAGCAGCGGUGUGUGUCGCCGUUGAAUGUGGACGGCGCAAAGGGCAGCUCGUGUUGUACAUGCGGGAACUUGAUUUGGUGAAGCACCGGUUUAUCGUCGAAGGGGUCGCAGGCAAGUACACAGUAGGAGAAGUCGAACCACCAGAGCAAACCUUGAUGGGUGAGAACGCCGUCACCGCGCCACACUUGUUUAUCCAAGAUUUUCGAGCAGUCGGGCUCCUUCUCGACCCACGAGUACAAGUCGACCGUGCAGAAGAGCGUGAAGAAGACAACCUCUUCGGAAAAGCACGGGUUGAGAUCGGCCACCAUGAGAAGCCUGCGGUUGUGAUCGCGGAUGAGGCCGACGCAGUGGCGGCAGUUGAAGCCGCCGUCGUGGGGGAAGAUGCCCGUCGUCCUGCGGAAGAACGGAUCGCAGAUGUAGACGGCGAGCCCGAAGGAGGCGUAACCGCAUAGCAGAAGGUGGCCGCUGCGGUCGGCGGCCGCGAUGUAGGGGUACUCGACGAGUCCGGCGGGGCUGGCGACGCUGCUCUCGACGAAUAGGCGGGAAGGUAGCGGAACCUUGUUGAAGGUGAAGACCGCGUUGGGGAAUUUCGGGGGCUUCAUGAAAUCUUCCGACACAUCCGGAACAGCGUACAUGAUGUACCACUGCUCCUCCUGCGCCGCCGGGGCCAUUGCUCCUAGGGAUGGGGAUGGGAGGGAGGAGUUGGAUCGGUUAGGGUUCCCUGAGAUGUGUGCGGGGACGUGCAAUGUGGUCGAUGGGAGUUGGUUUUUUUUUAGGGGGGAAAUCUUGCCGCUUUAUAUUUAACUAAACAAAGUUUGGGAUCUCAUCCGAAAUUAUAUCAAGAAUAAAGUCUGGUGGAGAAUCCACCCAAACAACACUUCUUUCUCCUACUCCUACCCUAGCAAGCUUAUGCACGGCAGUAUUCCCAGUACGACGAACCCAAGACACUUUGUACUCCGUGAAAGAGUUAAGCAUCUCGUUGAUCUCCUGAACCCAUGGUCCAACGGCAGACAAAUUCCGAGUAGGUUGAUUUAUCAUCUGCACAACCGACUUGCUGUCGAGUUCCACAUGCACUCUCGGUACCUGUCUCUCCAGCGCCAUCUGGAUCACCUUCCUGCAAGCGAGGACUUCCGCAGCUUCUGGAUCGAUGAUGUGUGGGUAGAACUGACAAGCCCCCACUAUAUAUGCUUCUUGAUGAUCUCUCAACACCGCUCCGCCUCCACCUUUGUCAUUAUGCCGAGAAACCGCACCGUCCACCUUUGUCAUUAUGCCGAGAAACCGCACCGUCGGCGUUGAGCUUAAUCCAUCCCUCAUCUGGUGGUUCCCAUCGCUGUAUCACCAUCGGCUCCGGGACCGGCCUGCUCUUCUCAUGCGCCAGCUUCCAUUCUGCAAGGUGUAGCUUAACCUCCAUCGCUAUUUCAUGUGGUGCGCCAUUCUCUUCCCAUCCCUCGCUUCGUUCCUCGCAAGCCACAGACUAUAGACAGCCUGGAUCAUGAGCUCCUUCUCCUUCCCAGCCGCCCAGACGAACCAGCCCAAUAGCCAAGAGGCAACUGCAUUCUGGGAGUGAAUCUGGCACAGCGGGAUCUCCACCGCUGCUCCCAAUUCCGAACACAAUGCCUUCCAGAACUGGAUUGAAUGCUGGCAUGUCCAAAAACGGUGAACCACCGUCUCUUCUCGUCCACAUGCCGCACAAAAAACAACCGGUUUGAUCCGACGAUGAAACAACUCCGACCCAACUGCUAGACCAUUGCGAAUAAGGCGCUACAUGUGGAUCUUGGUCUUCCCCGGAGCACUAGUUUCCCACAAUGCCAUGAAACCCUUGUGUCUGUGGACUGAAGAAGAGGACUCCGGCCGUCCGGACCUCGUUUGGUUUAUUCACAUACGCAGGUGGUACGCACUCUGAACCGAGAAAACACCAUUCUUCGUCAUGUUCCACGCUAAAAAAUCAUCCUCUCCGUGGCCUUCGAUUGCAAUCUGCUGAAUAUCUGCUGCAUCUCCCGGGGUGAACAUGGCAUCCACACGGGCUUCAUUCAGCCAGCCCCAUCGGGCAGGAGGAGAUCUGCCACUUUCGUUACUCCCGGCAUAUAUGUUUGUCCCAAAGGCUUCGUACUCCCCUCUCGUGGUAUCCAAGGAUCAUGAUGGAUGUUAAUUCUGGUUCCAUUCCCAAUUCUCCAUAUGAGUCCUUCCCGGAGUAGAUCUCUCCCAUGCAGCACACUCCUGAACGUGUAGGACCCCGAAGACGGACAUGAAGUCGUAAGGAUAGAGUCAUCCUUGAAAUAAAGUGCUUUGAGCACCCGUGCACAUAACGAGUUAGGCUCCUAUAGGAUGCGCCAAGCUUGCUUGGCCAGAAGGGCUUGGUUGAAAGCUUCCGGGUCACGAAAACCCAUGCCACCAUCCCUCUUACUAGCACACAUCUUCUUCCACGAUAUCAAUGAACCUUCCAUUCACCAUUCAUUGCGCCCCACCAGAAUUUAGAAGAGACAGAAGUCAGGUUCCGGUACAUCUUCUUUGAGAGGCGAAAACAACUCAUGGUAUAGGUAGGUGUCGACUGGUGGCCAGAUUUUAUCAAAACAUCUCUUGCUGCCUUUGAGAGGCCUUGACAUUUCCAUCCACUCACUUUUCCUUUCGAGCUUUCCGUAACAUGCUUAAAAACCCCAUCUUUUGAUCUUCUAACCAGUGUUGGAAGACCAAGAUAUCUCUCACUAAGAGCUUCAGAUUGAAUGCCACAAAUAUUUUUGACUUGUGUCUUGGUCUGCUCUAUGCAUCCCUUCCCAAAGAAAAUAGAGGACUUUUUUCAAGUUAAUUUUUUGUCCAGAAGCUUUUUCAUACUUGAUCAAUAUCUCACACAAAGUCUCCAUAUUUUCCUUGGUUCCUUCCAGGAACACAAUGCUGUCAUCCGCAAAUAGGAGAUGUGUUAUAUGGGGGCCAGUGCUCCCAAACGACACACCUUUCAGAUUUUUGUCCUCCUUUGCUUUAUUGAGAAGAGCAGAGAAACCCUCCACACAAAAUAAGAAUAAGUACGGUGAAAGCGGGCCACCCUGCCUGAGUCCUCGCGUGGGCUUGAAUCUCCUCGAUAGACCACCAUUUAACUUGACAGCAAAUUGCGUCGACGUAACACACCUCAUCACCAUAGCCACCCCACAUAGGAUGAAAACCAUACUGUACCAUCAUCUGUUCAAGAAAAACCCACCGCACCCUAUCGUAGGCCUUCAUCAUGUCCAGUUUUACCGCACAAAGAGUCUUUUUCCUCUUACGAGUCCGGAUAGCAUGAACACACUCAUACGCUACAAGGACAUUAUCCGUAAUGAGGCGACCCGGAACAAAGGCACUCUGUUCCUCAGAGAUAAGAAUAGGGAGUAUCCCUUUCAAUCUGUUAGCAAGAACCUUUGUCGCCAUUUUAUACAGAACAUUACACAGGCUAAUGGGGCGAAACUGUGAUAGCAGCUCCGGCGAGUUUACUUUGGGGAUCAUCACAAUGAUAGUGGCGUUGAACUCCUCCGGUGUUGCUGCUCCAUUCAAGAAGUCACGAACCGCCUGACACACAUCGUUUUCUACCAGUGGCCAGUGCCUCUGAUAAAACAGUGCGGGAAGCCCGUCCGGCCCCGGGGCCUUUGUAGGGCCCAUCUGAAAAAGUGCCACCUCUAUUUCAUCAUCAGUGAUAGGUGAGGUGAGCUUAUGAUUCAUCUCCGGAGUGACUAAGAGUGCAAUGUUCUGUAACAGCCCUUCGGUGUCCACUGACCCCUCGGAUUUGAACAAGUGUUCAUAAAAACUCACAGCCAUCUCUCUCAUAUCCUCAUCUACCGUGCACCUUGUGCCAUCAUCCUUCCUCAAAGCCUUCACAGUGUUUUUCCUCUUGCGAUGAGAAGCACGGUUUUGAAAGUACUUAGGGUUUUGAUCCCCAGCCUGUAGCCAGUCCACACGUGAUUGCUGUUUGUAUAGUAGCUCUUCCCGCGCAUAAAUCUCCCUUAGUUGCUCCUCCAAAUCCCGGACCUCUAGUGAGGAUCCAGUCUGAAGGUCUCUGGUUCGGGCAUCGAGCAGUUGCACUUUGAGCUUCGCUAUCUGUCGACGAAUGGAGCCAAAAACUUCCCGCGCCCAUCGCUGCAUAUUACCUGUCGUCGUGCAUAACCUACUCCACACCGCUAUGAGCGAAUGAUCACCCGUUGCUGCCGCUUCCCAAACCUCCUGAACCAUAGCAUCAUAAUUUUUGUGCCUCGUCCAUGCUUCCUCGAAUUGGAAAGCUCUCGGUCCCCUCCUCUCAGUACGCGGAGCCGUCUCCAACGCCUGAAUGAGGAUGGCCUGAUGGUCUGAUUCCUCCGUGACCAAGUGUUCGACAGAGGUCUCUGGGAACAUGUCUAGGAAGCUCGCCAUGCACGUCGCCCUGUCCAGUCGGACUUGGAUGUUAUCCUCCCCAUCCCUCUUAUUAUUCCAUGUAUAGGGCUACCCCGAAAAACUUAAGUCCGCAAGGCCACAAUCAGCCAAGCAAUCUCGGAAAUCCUCCAUCUGUGCAAACGGCCUCGGGUUGCCCCCCUUAUGAUCUGAUUGAAACAGGGCUUCAUUAUAGUCCCCAGCACAAAUCCACGGCAAGUUGUCUUGCGCCCUCAAUUACCUGAUAGCGUCCCAAGAUUUUUUACGAAGUUCCGUUUUUGGCUCCAUGUAGAAACCAAUGAAUCUACAGGUUUUGCCCUCCCACACCAUCUCCGCAUCAAUGAAAUAUUGGCUCCAUGGCCUAAUAGUCAUAGUGACUGAGUCUCUCCACCAUAGUGCCAAUCCUCCGCGAAGCCCCACACAAUCAACUGCUACUCCUUGCUUAAACCCUAGCCUCCACUUUAAUCGCUCCAUUGCUCUCGCCUUCUUCUUUUGUCUCGCAAAGAAAAACCACCGCCGGGUUGUAGGACCGUAUCAGGUCUCUUAAUUCGUCAACUGUCGAGUCCAACCCCAAUCCUCGACAGUUCCAGGCCAAGAGAUUCAUGGCGUCCGGCGGCCCCCCACCUCGGGAUCUGCCGAUAUGUCCUGGUUUUCGGAGAUGCGAUCAAACACAGUAUUCGUUUUCUGUCGCUUAUCACGAAUGAAAGCCUCAUUUGAAGUCUGUCUGUCAGGGUCAUCCUUUGCCACCCAAAAUUGCUUCGGCCCCCUCUUGCGUCCACCGUAAUCAUACCUUGGCAGGUUCCUGGCAAAUUGCACCUCUCUAUACUCCUGCCUUGGCUUUCUAACAUAGUGCCCCUUGGUCCUGUUCCUGCCGCGCUCCUCCCCUGGCCCGAACCGGCUCUGGUCAUCACCUCUGAAUUCACCCAAGUUUUGUAACCGUCCCGCAAACCUUCUCUCCCUCUCCGCAUGCCCCGGGCUGCCAUCAUGAUAGACCUGUUGCUUCUCUUGUAACUUGUUCCUCAGGUCCUUCUCUCUCUUUUUUUCAAGGCCGUGUCGCAGGUCCAGCUCCCUGGCCUCCCCCCGUCAUUCCCAGUCCUUUAUGGGGUUGUUUAUUUCCCCCCUCAUUGAUCUAGAACCACCGCCAGUGCGGGGAUCCGUCGAUCGUGAUAGUUCCUCAUUCAAGUUGCGUUUAAUUGGUAUAUCCUGUUUUCCUUUACUCUGGCGUCCCCGGUCGAUGUCGCCGAUUCUGCCACUACCCCAACUGUUAUUGCUGCUCAUAGACUGGCCAAAGGACCCCUCCUUUUCAUUUCCUUUCCUGCUGAGUGAUGCUCUAAGCCAUCCGCCCCAUUGAGCCGAUGAGUCCGUUGGAGGUACACAAACGCCUCCCGCAUGCACUAACCGGCCACAUUCAAAGCAAAAAUGAGGGAUUUUUUCGUAAUGAAAAUCAAACCAUGGCCCAUCCUUGUCAUCCCGUGAGGUUUGAGGUAAAAACCUCUCACCAGAGGCUCGAACAUAGAAAUUCUUGCUCUCACCCUUAGAUUGUUGCCUCUGGCCACCCCCUCACUGUCACAGUCAACUCGAACAAUGUCCCCCAACCAGUUGCCUAAUGCCUUACCAAACUUUUCAGUUCUCUUAUCUGGGGGUAGAUCAUCCACCCGGACCCAUACCUCUAUAGAAUCAAAAACCAUCUCAGACGGUCGUUUAUUUUCUUCAUAUUCCUUGAGAAUAAGCACGCUGAAAUUGUACUGCCAGGGUCCGUUGUUCAUUGCAUGUUUAUAAUCCCCCUCACUUCCAAAGUGCACCUCAAACACAUUCGAUCCCAGGUCUCGAAAUCUUGCUUCUCUGUGCAGUCCCCACGCUCUCGUCAUCGUUCGUUCCAAAGCGCUCCUGAUCAUUGGUCUGUUUGAACAUACCUUCCCAACUGCUGACCAUCUUGAGCUUUUGGGUAGCACCUCCUCCUGAUCAUCAAACACCAAACCUUCCGCCUCCUUAUCCAUCAGUACCAUCCCACCCAUCCUUGCCGAAAGACUCGACAUCGGAUCCGGGGUUUUUCUCUCAACUGGGGAUUUUGAAGAACCCCUGCUCAAUGAAUCUCCCGUCUUGCGCACCGGCGUAGCCAUCGCAGCCCGAGUUGUACCAGCCGGUGUUUUGUUCCGCUGUGCCGACACCCCCGGCGCCGUCGCCGGAGGCGCGGUUCCUCGCUGGUUUGUGGAGACCGACGCCGUAGCCACAGAUUUUGGCAUCGAAAAGGCCAUCUUCUCCUUCAUCGUAGCCUCACCCUUAGCAGGUGUAGGCCCUCCACGUUUCUGUGAGAUCGCCGCCGCCGCCGUAGAUGCCAUUGCCCCUGAAGCCGCCGUCGUCUUCUCUGGUGCUUUCUCCACCAUGGCUCCGCCCGCAGCAGAGAGGGAAACACCACCGAUCCGGGACUGAGUCAGCACCGUCGCCUUCCCGAUCCUGAUCGGAAUCUCUCUCACCCCCGUAGCGAAAACCCUAACCCUAGCACGCGAGCGCAAUCGCCUCACGUCACCUUAGCGUUUUCCCACGUGGUGGACCCCGGGGAGUUGGUUUCUUUAAGGAGUAUGUUUCAAGUUUAUUUUUCUUUCUUUAAGGAGUUCUUGUUUUGAAAAUUGUUCGGAAACUUCAAAAAUGUUUGCGCUUACAAAAAAUUUCAAAUUUUAUAAAAAUGGGUGUGUUUUCAAUUUUUUUUUCCUAAAUUCAAAAAUUGUUUCCAUUUUUAGAAUUUGUUUCGGAAUUUCUAGAAACGUUCCAUUUUUCUGAAAAUGUUUGCAUGUUUUUGUUCUUGUAUUGAAAACUUGAUCACGAAUUCAAGAAAUGUUCUUCUUUCAAAUUGUUGGUCAUGUAUUAAAAAUAUGUUCAUGUUUCAAUCUUGUUGGGAUUUUCAGAAUUGUUCUCCCUUUCAAAAUUGUUCUAAAAAUUCAAAAUAUGUUCGUUAUUUUAAAAAAAAUCCCCGUUUUGAAAACAAUUCUCAUAACGCGAAAAAAGUUCAUGUUUACAAAAAUGUUAAGAAUAUUAAAAAUUGUCCCUGUUUAUAAAUGAUGUUCACGUUUUAAAAAAAUGUUUGGGAAUUUCAAAAAAUGUUCGUGCUUCUCAAAAAUUGUUCAACAAUUCAAAAAAUGUUCCCAUUGUGAAAAACUGUUCAGAAUAUUAAAAAUUGUCUCACAAAUUCAGUAAUGUUUGUGUUUUCAAAAAAUGUUCGGGAAUUUUGAAAAAAGUUCAACAAUUCAAAACAGUAAACAGGCACUCUCGCUACAGCACCCACUAUUGGGCCGGCCCAGUCACGGGGUCCCUGUGCGUCGGUCGCGUGGCUGUUCGAGGCAAAACGCGUCGAAUAGGAGCUCCUGAGCUCCUGUAUGACGCUUGUUAGCGUCAAACAGAAGAGCUUCCGCACAGGGCUCGCGCAAACGAGCCGUCCCAUUGAUAGGCCAAUGUAAGAAAAAAAGUAACGAACGAAAAAUCAUAGCGCUAGUUGGUUUCCAACUUGCGACCUUGCACUGGAUAGCCACGUCGAAUGCCACUCCCGCUAGCAACUGGUAUUAUUUUUAACUAUAUCGUAAACUUCAAGUACCAUGUACAGCGGCAGAUCGGUUUUUUAAUCUUCAUUCAAAAAAAAUGAAUAAUGUUUUCUUGAACAAAUUUUGAAACUCGAACAAACUGUUAAAACAUAUUUUUUUAAAACUUACAAAUCAUUGAAAACAUGAACACAAAUUUAUUACUUUUUUAUAUACGAUGAAUGAUUUUCAAAUAUACACUGAACAUUUUUUAGAUGUACGAUGAACAAUUUUGAAGAACAUAGUGAACAUUUUCGUGAUAUACACUGAACAAAACUUAAAACAUAAUGAACAUUUUUGUGAUAUACCAUGAACAAAUUUUGAACAUUCAACAUUUUUAUAAUAUAAUCUGAACAAUUUUUAACCACGCAUUGAACAAUUUUGUGAUAUGCGCUGAAAAAACAUUUAAAUACCCAUUAACAUUUUGUGAUAUACACUGAACAAUUUUAAAAUUUUAACAAAAUUUGAAAAAGUUAAUAAAAUUAUAGAAAACUGUGAACGCGUUUUGAAAUAACGAAUUUCGUUGGGAUUUCGAAACAUUUUCUUGAAAACAAAGUAUAAAAAUAGAAACGAAAAAUGAUAAAAUGAACGGAAAGGAAAAUGAAAAGAAAUACAAACAAAAACAGAAUAAAAUAGAAAUAAAAAAUGAAACAGGGAAAAACCAGCAAAACAUUGAACAUUUUUGUAAAAAAAUACGCUGGAAAUUUUUUAGCUAAACAUUGAACAUUUUUGUGAUAUACACUGAACAAAUAUUUAAAUAUACAUUGAACAUUUCUGUGAUAUACGAUGAAGAAAGUUUUGAAUUGUGACAAUUUUUUAAAAAAGUGAUUUUUUGGAAACCAUUAACAUUUUUUUAUAUCAUGAACAAAAUUAUGAAUUUCAAACUUUUUGAAAACAAAGAAUAAACAAAUGAAAAAGAACAGAAGCAGAAAAAAAGGAAAAAAGAAAACAGGCAAAAAGGGAAAACCGACAAAAAGAAAAAAACAAAAAAACCCGGUUAAGGGAACCUUCUAGAAGGUUCCCAAAAUUGGUUGCCAGGAGCUGCUUUAAACGCUCGUUAUGGGCCAGCCCAUUUCGCACGCGCUUCAGCAAAAGCGGCGCAGCUGGACGCUCGCGCCCGUCACAUAGGGUUCGCCCCCCCCCCCCAAGGGCGUUUUUAGGCAAAAAAAAUAGCGCAUGUUGGGGUUGGCCGGUACUGUUUUUGGCGUGGGAGGCUCGGGGAGUUUCAACUCAAAUUCGGCACGAAUUCGUUACACUUCGGCACAAAUUCAGCAAAGAAUAAUUUUUAUCGCAUAGUUUAUCACAAAUAUUAGUACAAAUCAAAUAGUUCAACGAAGCAAGCUUAUAAUUCGAACACAAACUAAAACACAUCAAACUAGGCGUUGCCUUUGAGCCUCCAUAGGUGCUCCACCAGAUCGUGCUGCAGUCCUUAUGCACAUAUAGCUCUCGGAUUCCUAACGCAUAUUGAGGAAGGCAGCCCAUGCUACCGGUACCUGGUAAUCAACACCUGCAAUAUGGUUCAGUGUCAAACACUGGCUCGUCCUGCUCGCUCUCAAUGAUCAUGUUGUGCAAGAUGACACAUCAAUUCAUCACAUCCCACAUCUGAGAUUUCGACCAGGCCAGAGCGGGGUACUAGACAACAGCAAAUCGAGAUUGGAGCACACCAAAUGCACGCUUGACAUACUUCCUGCAAGCCUCCUGACACUUAACAAAGCAGGAUUUCUUGCCUCCUGGCACAGGGUUUGAGAUAGUCUUCACAAAUGUUGACCAUCUUGGAUAGAUGCCAUCUGCUAGGUAGUAUCCCUUGUUAUAGUGGCGCCCAUUGACCUUGAAGUUCACCGGAGGAGCAUGACUUUAACAAGCUUGGCAAAGACAUUCGAGCACUGCAGGACGUUGAUGUCAUUGUAAGUUCCUGGCAUACCAAGAAGGAGUGCCAAAUCUAGAGGUCCUUUGUAUUGCCUCAAGUACCACACCGCAAGCUCCUUUCGCUCCUUUCUACAUUCCCUGCCAGGCAAAUGGACAGUUUUUCCAUGCCCAAUCCAUGCAUUCGAUGCUUCCAAGCAUCCCAGGAAAUCCUCUUGCUUCUGUGCUAGGAUCCGAGCAGUGUCUUCAGCAUUGGGUGACCGCAAGUAUUCUGGUCCAAACACUUCCACCACUGCCCUGCAGAACUUGUACAAACACUAGGCCAUGCGUCCAAAUCUCUAGUCGCAUGUGCUUCUACCUCGCCGACAAACUGGAAGGGAUGGCCUUCCCCAACCCGGGGCUCUACACCCAUGUGAAGGGCAAGGAACAGUAGCAAUAGGUUGCUGAGGAUUUUGAGAAAAUCAAAUAGUGUUCCGGAGAAUUUUGUGAAUCAGAUGAACAACUAGGAAUGAACAAAUCCUUAAUACGUGUGAGGAUUAUUCGUAGGCGUAUUCAUGCAACAAAUAUCUAUAAGGCAGUGGCACAAGGGAUUCUUAAAAAGUUGGAGAAUAAUUUGAUGCACCUUGUAAUAACAAGAGCAGCUGGGAAUGAAAGUAAGAACGACAGGUGUAUGUAUUUAUCCAUAGGGAUAUAUCAGUGGUAGGGGAUUGCAAAAGCGACGGGCACAGAGUCUCGAGAGAGCAUCGGAGAGUAUCUUCGAAAUCUUCUGGUGUAGCAGGCGAUCAUCUGGACUGAAUGGGCUCUCCGGGAGAAAGUAUUUUCGAGAACCUAAAGUUAGAUUUUUAGCAAAAUUAUUUAAACCGAAUAUAAGAGAUAUCAGAACCCCAGAGUAUAGACGAGGAAUAAAAGAUCCUAAUACCACCCAAAUGGCUACAUGGACCCGUAAGCCACACAACCAUGUUAGCAAAAAGUUAUUCAAUGACUAGACUCAACUUCGGCCAAGGAGUUGGAAAGGGGGAUUCCUACUGGCAGUCGGCUCUGAUACCAACUUGUGACUCCCCUGAUUUGACCAUACACAAAUCAUACACGCAAAUGCGUACGACCAAGAUCAGGGACUCAUGGGAAGAUAUCACAACACAACUCUAGACACAAAUUAAAGUCAUACAAGCUUUAUAUUACAAGCCAGGGGCCUCGAGGGCUCGAAUACAUAAGCUCGAAAGCACAAUAGUCAGCGGAAGCAACAAUAUCUGAGUACAGGCAUAAGUUAAACAAGUUGUCAUAAGAUGGCUAGCACAAACAGGGAUAAAGAUCAAAAAGGCAAGGCCUCCUGCCUGGGAGCCUCCUAACUACUCCUGGUCGUCGACAGCCUCCACGUAGUAGGAGCAUCCGUCGGGGAUUUAGUAGUCGUCAGCGGUGGCAUCUGACUCCUAGGCUCCAACAUCUUAUCGCAACAUCCGGAAAGUAGAGAGAAGGGGGAAAUGGGUAGCAAAGCAACCGUGAGUACUCAUUCGAAGUACUCGCAAGACUUACAUCAGAUCUAAACUACAUAUGCAUUGGUAUCAAAUGAAUGGGGUAAUAUCUGUGGACUAAACUGCAGAAUGCCAGAAUAAGAGGGGGAGAAGCUAGUCCUAUCAAAGACUACGCUUCCAGUAACCUCCGUCUUGCAGUAGUAGAAGAGAAUAGCAGAUAAGUAUCAACACAUAGCAUAACCCACCUGGCGAUCCUCUCCUUGUCACCCUGUGAGAGAGCGAACACCGGGUUGUAUCUGGAAGUUAUCUGGGUGUGCUUUAUUAAGUCGGCUGGUACAUCAUCCUCCCAUAGGAGGCCUUUGCAUCUGGGCGUGUGUGGCCUAUUUUCAUUUCACCCCAGUUAUUCCAUCGAACUAAGUAGCAACAUGUAAGGAGUCAGUUUUCGAGAUACCACACAACACCAAUUUUCCAACGAAACUAAUGAGAAAUAAAAAGGUGCAUCACUCAUUUUCGACCAAAUUAAUUAUGUCUUGGUAUUAGAGUUUUCUCUCUCUGUCCUGAUAAACCCAAACGGAGGGAGUAAAGAUUAUCUAUCUCAACAUCACAUGAUUCUAAAUACAAAACAGAAAACCACGGCUAGAAGAGGACGACAUCUAGAGGCAUUGCUUUUCAUGUACUAAUACCUUGUUAAACACAUUCUCUAACAAAUUGGUUUGGAUCCUUCUUCAACAAUUUCCACACACUACAAGGCCAGUUCACAAAAGCUUAAAGCGUGAGCAUUGGUACAAAACUAGUUGUGGUCUAUCUUGAGAAAAGGGAACACUUAGUACACGAAACGUCACCUGUCUCAACAACUUGCACCAUUUCUGUUGGCUCGCAAAGUAACUUUAUUUAGUAUACCAACUUAAUUUGUGAGCAUUAGCCAAAGCAACACACAAUGGUAGGCAAAAACCAUGUCACUAAGCAAUAAAUAAAGGGGAGCCUCAACCCAUCUAUUCAUCUCCACCACCACCAAAACAACAUUGAAAACAUGAAGACCUUAUUCCUCCUAGCUCUCCUUGCUCUUGUAGCGAGCACAACCUUCGCGCAAUACUCAGAAGUUGGCGGCUGGUACAAUGAAGUUGGCGGAGGAGGUGGUUCUCAACAAUGUCCGCAGGAGCGGCCGAAGCUAAGCUCUUGCAAGGAUUACGUGAUGGAGCGAUGUUUCACAAU
rnacentral:lncRNA from 1 species